rnacentral:rRNA from 1 species
AUUGAACGCUGGCGGCAGGCCUAACACAUGCAAGUCGAGCGGAUGAAGGGAGCUUGCUCCUGGAUUCAGCGGCGGACGGGUGAGUAAUGCCUAGGAAUCUGCCUGGUAGUGGGGGAUAACGUCCGGAAACGGGCGCUAAUAUCGCACACGCCCUGAGGGAGAAAGUGGGGGAUCUUCGGACCCCACGCUAUCAGAUGAGCCUAGGUCGGAUUAGCUAGUUGGUGGGGUAAAGGCCUACCAAGGCGACGAUCCGUAACUGGUCUGAGAGGAUGAUCAGUCACACUGGAACUGAGACACGGUCCAGACUCCUACGGGAGGCAGCAGUGGGGAAUAUUGGACAAUGGGCGAAAGCCUGAUCCAGCCAUGCCGCGUGUGUGAAGAAGGUCUUCGGAUUGUAAAGCACUUUAAGUUGGGAGGAAGGGCAGUAAGUUAAUCCCUUGCUGUUUUGACGUUACCAACAGAAUAAGCACCGGCUAACUUCGUG